rnacentral:rRNA from 1 species
UACGGAGGGUGCGAGCGUUAAUCGGAAUUACUGGGCGUAAAGGGUGCGUAGGUGGUUGUAUAAGUUAUCUGUGAAAUCCCUGGGCUCAACCUGGGCAGGUCAGAUAAGACUGUAUGACUCGAGUAUAGGAGAGGGUAGUGGAAUUUCCGGUGUAGCGGUGAAAUGCGUAGAGAUCGGAAGGAACACCAGUGGCGAAGGCGGCUACCUGGCCUGAUACUGACACUGAGGCACGAAAGCGUGGGGAGCAAACAGG